CAGCCGCCGCGGUAAUACGGAGGGUGCAAGCGUUAAUCGGAAUUACUGGGCGUAAAGCGUGCGUAGGCGGUUCGUUAAGUCUGUUGUGAAAGCCCCGGGCUCAACCUGGGAAUGGCAAUGGAUACUGGCGAGCUAGAGUGUGUCAGAGGAUGGUGGAAUUCCCGGUGUAGCGGUGAAAUGCGUAGAGAUCAGGAGGAACAUCAGUGGCGAAGGCGGCCAUCUGGGACAACACUGACGCUGAGGCACGAAAGCGUGGGGAGCAAACAGGAUUAGAUACCCGGGUAGUCCCUGUCUCUUAUAC
rnacentral:rRNA from 1 species